ensembl:lncRNA ZNF503-AS1 ZNF503 antisense RNA 1
ACCGAUCAGAUGCACAAGACUUGGAAGCAAGUAAACGUGGGCAAGGUGAGCUAGCUGGGCGUGGAGGAGAGUGAUCUCCCGGCAAGCAGGAGUCAGCUGGCAUGGUUUUGCUUCAAGUUGUGGGUCCAGAUCAUUUGGGAAGCAGCAGAGACCUGGGGAUGCUCUUGCCUGGUGGGCAGCACAAGCACGAGAGGUGCACCACACAGGUGCGUUGAAAGCCCCUGCCCGUGCCAAGUCUGCUGAAGUUCCAUUGGCCAAAGCCACUCACUUGGCCAAGCCUGUAGUAUCAGGUACUUUAAUCAGCAUUUAAUGACCCAGUCGAAAAUUCAUUGUUUGGACCCAAGCACUGGUGGGAAAGGCAGGAGGGGAGGCCUGCCUUCCUUCCUCCCUCCCGAGCCCUACAGCAGGCCAUGGAGUGGUGAGCGAGUUCGUACAGUGCCAACCACAUUCCCAGAAACUUCCAGCAGAGGUUAAUCCUGCUCCUCUCAGGUGGGCUUGGCCCAUUCUCUAGACUUUGGAAGGUAAUGUUCUAUAGAGGCCUGUUCUGAAGCUUUACCAGGUCAAACCGGAGAAGAACCCAACAAGUAACUCAUCCCAGCCUAACUAUUCUUCAAGGGCAAUCAACCUACAGCAUCCAAGCACAGAGAAAUCAAAUCCAUGGAGAAUCUUCAAAUUAGGCUCAGAAUCCAUUUGGGUCAAUGAAUUUACUGUUAUUAAGAUCUUAGUUGUGUUCAACCAUGAUUUGACAUACCUUAGAGUGAGAAGAUAUUCUUCCUGGCCUCAGACUAGUUGAAGGUAGAGAGAGAGACAGGCCCUUGGGUGUGGGGAGACCUCUCCUGGGAUAAUACACACAAAAAACCAAGAGCUGCUCACUGUGGUGCAGGAGACAGCAGGGCCUGAAGCCAGAGGCUCUGUGUCCUUGAAUACAAUGUUUUACUCCUCUGACCCCUGUUACUGUGAUUUGGAGAGGCAGACAAUAUAGGAUGGGCUUUGCAGGCAGGGAGGUCCAGUUAUAAUCCCAGCUCUUACUAAGUUGGGUAAGACUCACUCUGAGACUUAGUUUCUUCUGUCAUCUCUCAAUAGAAUCAUAAAGGUACUUUCCUCUUAGUGUUGUUUUAAAAUUCAGUAAAAUAAUGCAGGCUUAGCACAGGGUCUGAUGUAAAUUUUCAAUGAAUUAUCGUUGUCAAUAUUGUUCUGGAAAACAAGAGGGCAUAUUAGAAGAUCAAAAGUACUGCCAAGCAUUGAAGUGCCAAUUCUAGAUCCAGUCUCAGCCCUCUGAGAAUGGAUAUCAUUGUUUUCAAGCCAUUCAGAAACCAAUGUGAAUUGAACACCUAGUAUGAGCUCUCUGAGGGAAGAGCCAAGUCAUGCAUUUUUUAUCUUAAGGGGUCUUCAAUACCUCUAGCCCAAAACAGUAUCUCCAUCAGGAUUCUUCUCUGAUAGUGUUCAUUUCUUUUUUCUCAAUGGAUGCCUUAAAAAAAAAAUCCUACAAGGAAACCUGUACUCCUCAAAUACACCACUCAGGUGACCAUUAAAUCAUUUACAUUGUUAA